GCAGUCGAGCGAACUGAUUAGAAGCUUGCUUCUAUGACGUUAGCGGCGGACGGGUGAGUAACACGUGGGCAACCUGCCUGUAAGACUGGGAUAACUUCGGGAAACCGAAGCUAAUACCGGAUAGGAUCUUCUCCUUCAUGGGAGAUGAUUGAAAGAUGGUUUCGGCUAUCACUUACAGAUGGGCCCGCGGUGCAUUAGCUAGUUGGUGAGGUAACGGCUCACCAAGGCAACGAUGCAUAGCCGACCUGAGAGGGUGAUCGGCCACACUGGGACUGAGACACGGCCCAGACUCCUACGGGAGGCAGCAGUAGGGAAUCUUCCGCAAUGGACGAAAGUCUGACGGAGCAACGCCGCGUGAGUGAUGAAGGCUUUCGGGUCGUAAAACUCUGUUGUUAGGGAAGAACAAGUACGAGAGUAACUGCUCGUACCUUGACGGUACCUAACCAGAAAGCCACGGCUAACUACGUGCCAGCAGCCGCGGU
rnacentral:rRNA from 1 species